UACGAAGGGGGCUAGCGUUGCUCGGAAUCACUGGGCGUAAAGCGCACGUAGGCGGCUUCUUAAGUCAGGGGUGAAAUCCUGGAGCUCAACUCCAGAACUGCCUUUGAUACUGAGGAGCUUGAGUCCGGGAGAGGUGAGUGGAACUGCGAGUGUAGAGGUGAAAUUCGUAGAUAUUCGCAAGAACACCAGUGGCGAAGGCGGCUCACUGGCCCGGUAUGACGCUGAGGUGACGAAGCG
rnacentral:rRNA from 1 species